UACGAAGGACCCGAGCGUUAUCCGGAUUUAUUGGGUUUAAAGGGUGCGUAGGCGUCCUGGAAAGUUACGGUUGAAAUCUCCUUGCUCAACAAGGAAACUGGCCGUAAAACUAUCAGGAUUGAGUACAUUUGAAGCGGGCGGAAUGUGUCAUGUAGCGGUGAAAUGCUUAGACAUGACACAGAACACCAAUUGCGAAGGCAGCUCGCUAAACUGUAACUGACGCUGAGGCACGAAAGCGUGGGGAUCAAACAGG
rnacentral:rRNA from 1 species